ensembl:misc_RNA 7SK 7SK RNA
GAAUGUGAGGGUGAUCUGGCUGUGACAUUUGUCUAUAUGACCCCAUUGAUCACCAGGGUUGAUUCAGCGGAUCUGGCUGGUUCGGUGGGUGUUCCCUUCCUCCCUCACUACUCCAUGUGUGUCACUCCAGGAGCUGAGUGCUAGGUUGAAGAGGACAACCAUCAUCAAUAGAGGAGGAUUGGUCUUGAGUCAAGUAGCCGUACUCCCCUGCUAGAACCUUUAAACAAGCUCUCAAGAAAACGUAAUGCAGAUGGAGUGAAUUUGGCCAAAGUACAUUAUGUAUGUAUUGUAAAUAUCACAAUUAAUUGACUU